rnacentral:rRNA from 1 species
AGCUGCGCAGUGCUGUAGCGGCGUGAGGAGGACAUUA